rnacentral:rRNA from 1 species
UACGAAGGGGGCUAGCGUUGCUCGGAAUCACUGGGCGUAAGGGUGCGUAGGCGGGUCUUUAAGUCAGGGGUGAAAUCCUGGAGCUCAACUCCAGAACUGCCUUUGAUACUGAGGAUCUUGAGUCCGGGAGAGGUGAGUGGAACUGCGAGUGUAGAGGUGAAAUUCGUAGAUAUUCGCAAGAACACCAGUGGCGAAGGCGGCUCACUGGCCCGGUACUGACGCUGAGGCACGAAAGCGUGGGGAGCAAACAGG